CAGUUGAAUGGUUGCUGACAGAUAAGUGUCCCAAUAAAACAUUUAUUUUGAAUAUAAUUAACUUAAGUCUUCUUUAUCCCAAAUAAGGUUUUAGGAAGCUGUGACAUGCAACCACCACUAUCAUCAUUUCCCAACAUUGUAGAAGUUCGCAAGACGUCCCGUCAGCGGUGCUCAAGCUCCACCCCAGCAGCUUAUAAAUCCCUCUUCCAGGCUUCGCCAGAUCCACACAAAGAAGUUCAUCUUUACUACUCAAGAGACCAAAUCAAAGACUAGAGAGCAAAAUGGGGGUCAGCCAGCUUCUGAAUAAGCCAUCGGAUGGAAAUAAAGCAGAUAAUCAGGGAUAUCAAGUGGUCACUGUGCAGCCGCAAGUUAUUGUGACCAACACUCCACUGGAUAACCCACAACCAGAUCACCUGUGUUUCUCCGUCUUUACCAUGCUGUGCUGUUGUUUUCCUCUCGGCAUUGCUGCUCUGGUUUACUCCAUCACAACUCGAGAUGCAAACCAGCUAGGAUACCGACAAAUCGCAAAUAAAAACUCCAGAAUGGCACGCAGACUUAACCAUAUCGGUCUUUCUAUUGGCAUGAUAACGUUUUUGAUUAUUAUCAGCUAUUUUGUUUAUUGUUGGAUCAUGCUUGCACGACUUGGAAGUCAAUUUGGAGAAAUGAAUCUGCAUUUAACUACAGAACAAAUGAACGUUAAUGGUCCAUAUUAACAUGAAGGCACUGUCAUUCAACUGUUGAGGCAUAACACUUGGAAAAAUUGAAUUCUUUGAAAAGGAAUGUUUAUGGAGCUGCUGAAGUCUUUUACUUAAUUUGUAUACAGAUGUGUCGAAGUCAUUUAUGUUUUGAACAAUGAAAGGUUUAAUUGUCAAACAUAACAAAAUGAUUUUUAUACAUUAACGCUUAUAAAUGAUGAAUAACAAAUUUUCUCUGCAUUUAUUCUAACCAGAUAUGCACUUGCUGUCAUGUUUUUUUUUUUUUUUUUUAGAAAAUUGCACAACUUUGUAUUUUCUGCAAUGGCUUUAAAAAAUGUUUUGGUUUAUUCAUCCAACUUUUUAUAACGUUUCUGGAACAGCAUUGUGUAAACACUGAUUUUAUUAACGUCCAGUAUCAAUAAAGAUUAUUAUUGCA